rnacentral:rRNA from 1 species
AGUGAACGCUGGCGGUAGGCCUAACACAUGCAAGUCGAACGGCAGCACAGGAGAGCUUGCUCUCUGGGUGGCGAGUGGCGGACGGGUGAGGAAUACAUCGGAAUCUACUCUGUCGUGGGGGAUAACGUAGGGAAACUUACGCUAAUACCGCAUACGACCUACGGGUGAAAGCAGGGGACCUUCGGGCCUUGCGCGAUUGAAUGAGCCGAUGUCGGAUUAGCUAGUUGGCGGGGUAAAGGCCCACCGAGGCGACGAUCCGUAGCUGGUCUGAGAGGAUGAUACGCCACACUGGAACUGAGACACGGUCCAGACUCCUACGGGAGGCAGCAGUGGGGAAUAUUGGACAAUGGGCGCAAGCCUGAUCCAGCCAUACCGCGUGGGUGAAGAAGGCCUUCGGGUUGUAAAGCCCUUUUGUUGGGAAAGAAAUCCAGCUGGCUAAUACCCGGUUGGGACGACGGUACCCAAAGAAUAAGCACCGGCUAACUUCGUGCCAGCCGCCGCCGUAA